GUGGGGAAUCUUAGACAAUGGGGGAAACCCUGAUCUAGCCAUGCCGCGUGAGCGAUGAAGGCCUUAGGGUUGUAAAGCUCUUUCAGCUGGGAAGAUAAUGACUGUACCAGCAGAAGAAGCCCCGGCUAACUCCGUGCCAGCAGCCGCGGUAAUACGGAGGGGGCUAGCGUUGUUCGGAAUUACUGGGCGUAAAGCGCACGUAGGCGGACCGGAAAGUCAGAGGUGAAAUCCCAGGGCUCAACCUUGGAACUGCCUUUGAAACUCCUGGUCUUGAGGUCGAGAGGGGUGAGUGGAAUUCCGAGUGUAGAGGUGAAAUUCGUAGAUAUUCGGAGGAACACCAGUGGCGAAGGCGGCUCACUGGCUCGGUACUGACGCUGAGGUGCGAAAGCGUGGGGAGCAAACAGGAUUAGAUACCCCGGUAGUCC
rnacentral:rRNA from 1 species